GUAAUUUAUUACAUUGUUUUGCUGACGCUGAUUGCAAUUACAAAAAAGGUUUAAUUGGGUCCAAUUGGCGGGCGAACCCGCCAAGGAAACAAGUAGUACGCAAAAGACAUGGGUGAAUAUGGCAGACAGACGCCCCAAUGGGGGUCUGCCUUUCAUAUUUGUGUAAUGAUCCCUCCGCAGGUUCACCUACGGAGA
rnacentral:misc_RNA from 1 species